AUGUUCGAGUAUCUAAAUGUUGUCAGCAAGAUGUUUGAUAGUGAGGCUGAAGGCUAUGAAUUCUACAACAAAUAUGCUCUUGAAAAAGGUUUUAGUGUGAGGAAAAGCUACGUUGAGUGGGAUGGAUCCAACAAAUACAUAAUUUUAAGGAAAAUUGUGUGUAGUCGUCAAGGGUUUCGCAAAGAGAAGCACAUGAAAAGAAAGAUGGAAGAUAGAAAGAGGAGGCCACGAAGUUUAACUCGUGUUGGGUGUAAUGCUAAAUUGGUCAUUACGAGACAGGAGGAAACCAGUCGGUGGUUUGUCAAGGAUUUCAUCGAUGAGCACAGCCUCUAG
rnacentral:rRNA from 1 species